rnacentral:misc_RNA from 1 species
GAUGAAGAACGCAGCGAAAUACGAUACGUAAUGUGAAUUGCAGAAUUCAGUGAAUCAUCGAGUCUUUGAACGCACAUUGCGCCCCCUGGUAUUCCGGGGGGCAUGCCUGUCCGAGCGCCAUUGCUGCCCUCAAGCACGGCUUGUGUGUUGGGCCUCCGUCCUCCUCCCGGGGGACGGGCCCGAAAGGCAGCGGCGGCACCGCGUCCGGUCCUCGAGCGUAUGGGGCUUCGUCACCCGCUCUUGUAGGCCCGGCCGGCGCUUGCCGACACAUCAAUCUUUUUUCCAGGUUGACCUCGGAUCAGGUAGGGAUACCCGCUGAACUUAAGCAUAUCAAUAAGCGGAGGA